UUUCCACUCCCAGAGCCUCUCAAAGUGCCUGGCUCACAGCAGUACCAGUGAAUGUUAGCGGAAGGUCCGGUACGCUGGGACGCUCGUGUUUGUAGCCAGGCAGAUCCUCCUUGCUCUCCAGCAAGCCAUCCUGCCCCUCUAACCUCUUUUCCACUAGAGAAUCCAGGAGAGAAGCUUCCAGAACAUAAGGAUUCAAGACCAGUCCUUCAGACGCUCUUCUAGACAGAUGAUCACAUCAUAAACCUUGUGGAGAUUCUGGAGCCGACACCAGCUCUGAGCCCAGUCCUGGGUCAGAGUCCUUUGUGGGGAGCUGCUUGUUGAUGAAGUUUGACCGCGUGAAACUGGAGAGAUGUGUCAGCAGAAGUGAGGAAAAGAGCUUUCACACGACCGUAGAAAUGACGCCGGAGCCGUGUCUCCUUGAGGACGGUGGCUUUUUGGACUUCUUCACCGGGACGCACGGUGAGAAAGAUGCACGACCAGAACCAGCCAGGCGGAACUAGACCAAGAGUGUUACGGAACGAUACCAACCCUCCCUCGGUGUGAAGCCUUCUGCUAUUUUCCAUUUUAUUUUAUUUCAUUUUUUUGAUAAGAAGCUGGUCAUGCCCGCUCCACUGAUUUUAUGAUCUACUGAGGGACUGGCAGCUGCGGGUUGAAGAACACUGCGCCCUGGGCACUGCGUAGGCACGAUUCUCUUCAUAGAGGCUGUGAAAGCCCAAGGACCAGCUCCUCAAAAAAUGCUUUUCAGUGAAUGGAUAAUUUCACAUGGGCACAUGGCUGGCACCCCUAAAAGUCCUAGGUUAGGUGACAUCCCCCCCCCAGAUUCUGGGGCAAAUGUGAUUUUUACCCAUGGCAAUCAAUGAUGAACACCUGCAAUUCAAACAAUCCCUCAUAACCUGGGAAAGGUGGGCAGGUCCUUUAUACACAGUGAGGACAAGGGCAUCCAAAAUACAGCGCUGCACCUUCCUUCUGGGCAUCGGGGCACCUCUGGGGGACAUGUUGGCCACAUGGCCCCACUGGCAUCAUCCUCCUUCACAGCCCCCGUGGGGUAGGGCAGGCAGUCUUAUUUCCGCUCUACAAAAGGGGAAACCCAGGGCCAGGGAGGUAAGGUACCUUCCUAAGAUGAUACGGUUUGUCAUGAGUUGAGUUCUGCUUUUUCGAUUCCUGGUCUAGCAUUGUCCUGUUCUAGUGAAUUCCUCUCUGGUUCACCUUUCCUAGGGAACUCAUCACCACAAUAUU